rnacentral:lncRNA from 1 species
CCACAUAUUCUUGAUUAUUGAGAGCCAGUGAAGAAAGAAAACAAAUAUCUGCAGUAAGAGAAAAACAUUGGUAAAGAAGUGAAGGGAUGUGCAGCCGGUUCUGUGGACUUCAGGAAUUUUGCAAUCAACUCUAAUGAGAUCUGGAUGCAGAGCUAUUCCGAGUUUCCUAUGGAAAUUUUACUGAAUUGCAUUUCAUGAGAUUCUGCUGUCUCCUGGUAAGUGCUGAAGACACAUACAUGGUAUUUUUGUCUUCUUGAAUACAAGAGGAGCUUUGUCAGAUAGCUCUUGAUAGGAUUGUGAGGCCAUGGUCUUUUGGACAGUAAUUUUCCAGAAUUGAGGUCUCUGCCAAUUUGUUUAGGAAUCAGGUUGCACAGUCCCUCUCCCCUUAGCACUUAAUUGUGUUCUUGUCAAUUAGCUAGUCCACAGGGCCUGGAUGCUAUCGGAGGGGAGGCCUCAUCAACCAAAGCCUCAAUCGGAUAAAUAAUAACAGGUGUUAAAAGGAAUCAGGUAAGAGGUCAGGCUUCACCACACUUUGUAGAUAACAUAACAGUGGUGUCA